ACAACGGCUCUUUUCAGAGCCACACACCUCCACGGAGAGCAGGUGU
rfam:Tetraodon nigroviridis, WGS project CAAE01000000 data, contig: CNS0BZ68, chromosome: undetermined